ACGGGGUGCAGCAGGCGCGAAACCUUUGCAAUGUGCGCAAGCACGACAAGGUUAAUCCGAGUGUUUCCUGCUAAAGGAAUCUUUUGUUAGUCGUAAAACCACUGAUGAAUAAGGGGUGGGCGAGUUCUGGUGUCAGCCGCCGCGGUAAAACCAGCACCUCAAGUGGUCAGGAGGAUUAUUGGGCCUAAAGCAUCCGUAGCCGGCUCUGCAAGUUUUCGGUUAAAUCCAUUUGCUUAACAAAUGGGCUGCCGAAAAUACUACAUAGCUAGGGAGUGGGAGAGGUAGACGGUAUUCGGUAGGAAGGGGUAAAAUCCUUUGAUCUAUUGAGGACCACCUAUGGCGAAGGCAGUCUACCAGAACACGUUCGACGGUGAGGGAUGAAAGCAGGGGGAGCAAACCGGAUUAGAUACCCGGGUAGUCCCAGCUGUAAACGAUGCAGACUCGGUGAUGCGCUGGCUUGUGGCCAGUGCAGUGCCGCAGGGAAGCCGUUAAGUUUGCCGCCUGGGAAGUACGUACGCAAGUAUGAAACUUAAAGGAAUUGGCGGGGGAGCAC
rnacentral:rRNA from 2 species